CCCCUCUGACUUUUGUGUUUAACAGGAACUUCAUCUUCAACUUUAUCUUCUACCAAAGCAUGUGACUGCGAUGAGAUUUCGGAGCUUCAAACCAGCCACGUUCCAAUAUACGUUAAACGCCGCCGUUUUGGUUUCUUACUAGAAGAUCAAUGUUUUGCUUGUUCUACGCUAUCCUAAAGUCUUCAAUUUGACCCAAAGAGCAAUCCAGGGAGAAAUGAUGAAUCUAAAUAAACAAGGAGAGACAAGGUACUUCAGUAAAGUUAAUAUCUCUUCUCAUUUGAGUGGCAACUCGAUAUACGAAUUUAGUUCAGAAUUGAUCCGGUAUACAACUUUUGAUCCACCCCCUUUCCAAGAUGAAUUGAUGGAAGAUGGUGUUCAGAUGUUUACUGCUAGAGAAUUCUUUCAAGUACUUUACCAUUCCCCCGGGUAAUUUUCAAGUACUGCUCCAAAUUACAUGUUCAACAGAAGCUAUAAGAAUCAGAUCCAUGACAAAUUAGGCCCUUUCGUGCUCCGGAAGGAGAUGCAGGCUGCUGAUGGUUCGAGUUUUGACGACGUAAAGCUCAUUUUCCAACAUGUCAAAUGCGAGCAAGAUACUAAUAGACCCGGAAUUGCAAAGGUUUCUUCAGUGCCGAGAGCAUUUACCAAAGGAAGCUUUCAACAUUUGGAAAGAUUAAGAACCGGUCUUUCGGGGUCGACUUUAGCCACUGAGGGUAUAUGGAAUUCUUCUUCUGGACAGCUUUUCAUGGUUGGAUGUCAAGGGACGGUCGAACCAGGGUUCGAAGGAUGUCACUAUGUGAUUGCAAUGUACUUUCCACGUUCAUUUUCCAUUAAGCAGAGAAGCUCCCUAUUUGGAACCAUAUCCAACGUGAAAAAGGAUAUAGCUUUGGACAAUCCCUUAUAUUUUGGUGCAAUGGAAGGCAUUUCCGCAGAGAUAUCACGGAAUAUAUAUAUACCGUACAAUUAUUCCAAGAUCAAUUUGGUCAAUGCGUUUGAGAGUAGAACUCUACCGUAUCAAAUUCUAAACAUUCUCAAGCAGUGGCUCUUCCACUAUCCGGCUCUGAAAGACGUAGAAAAACCGCUUGCUCAGUUGAGCCACUUGACCAAUAAUCUUGCUUUAGAUGGCUAUGUAGUCCCAGAUGAUCAGCCAAUUGCUAGGCCAAAAUCUCGAGUCCUCAUUCAGCUUGAGUUGCUUACUUUAGGUCCAUUAUCUGGAUGGUCUGAACCCAAUUUGUUGAAGGGAAGUCUCAGAAAGAAACCUGCCAUUACAAAAGAUGAUCUCACAAGCUGCAGGUUCUUGAAUGUGUCAAUGCAUCUCGCAUUCAAAACUGAGAAAGAAUACAAGCAAACACCUUACAAAAAUGUCUCAGAAUUGUCCCUGGAAGUCUACAUGAUCCGACUUUAGGUGAGAUGCAUUUGAUUGCAUGUAGGAAGGCUUUGGUUGCGAGUAUUGGCUUAGAACGAGGCCAAGAUUGUCUUAUAUCAGUUAAAAUUCAGGACCCGUCCAGAAACUUACAAUGGUGGCAAAAACCAUUUGCCAAGAUCACCAUCAGCAACCAAAGGAAAGAAGAUGACCGACCCCCUCUACUUUAGCUUGAUUACCAUUCAUUCUCGUUUGACUAAUUAUCCAGAUUAUUUUGAAGUAAUUGCUGGUAAAGCAUUCUUGGAGCCGGUCGUAGGCAUUCUACUGCUCACAGUGUCGAUUGCUCUCAUACGGAACCAGUUCUCAUAUAUGAAGUGGAACCAAAAUCGUACUGAAAACGAUGGAACUCAAGCUUACAACAUGGUUCCUCGCAAUCAUCCUGCAUACAGAACUUUGAAACUUCUUCAAAGUUUCGUGAAGGCUCUUUUCCAUUUGGCAAGACUUUUCCAUACGGAAAGGGACUCUAGAAGCAAGACCCUCUCUCAAAGGUCCUCUACGCAAAGAUGUGGUUCAAGAGAAAAAAGGGUUAUGCUGAUUACCAUGGCUAUAUACGCUUUCGGAUUUCUGAUUUGGUUUGUUGCUGGUUACAAUCCUGAUGUACAAGUACAACAGCUAAAUCCCGAAAAGGACAGGCAUGGACCAAGAAAUGGGCAGAUGUGGCAAACUCAGAUGGGUAUAAUGACGGGUUUUGUUUACUUUGUUCAAGACUACUUUCUGCUUCCUCAGAUUAUUAGCAAUGGAUUGAUGGCAAUGCCUGGUAAAUCCUUGAUGGAAGCCUAUUACCUCGGAUUGACAUCAGUAAGGCUGGUUAUGAUCUUCUUUGACUAUGUAAUGGAUCCUAUUACACAAGCCAAAGUGGAAAAUUUUGAUGUUGACUCGAGUUCAAACUCGAAACGUCUAACGUUCACCAUGGUUCUUGGUCCGUCAACCAUGAUUAUGUGUGCAAUUCGAGUCUAUAUCCAGCAAAACUGGAAACACCAGAAGCAUAGUUAGUCUCCGAAUAGUUUACAAGCAUUGUAAUAUUAUGUAAUGUGUGGUCUUGUCCUCUAAAUUCAUCUUAGAAUCAAUCAGUACCUGCAAAACACAAGUGUUUUUGCUGUCAUUGUUUCGGUUCAAUUGGAUAAUAUGAUUAACCUUGUUCAAGGUUGUAAGGAAUUAUAUUCGGGAGUAGCCCCAAUUGCUUAGGUA